UCCCUGGAGGAAUAGUGGUUAGGCCACGGUGCCCUCACCACCGUGACUCGGGUUCGAAUCCCGGGCCGGGGAC